UACAGAGGUCCCAAGCGUUGUUCGGAUUCAUUGGGCGUAAAGGGUGCGUAGGUGGCGCCGUAAGUCAGGUGUGAAAUUUCGGAGCUCAACUCCGAAACUGCAUUUGAUACUGCCGUGCUCGAGGACUGGAGAGGAGACUGGAAUUUACGGUGUAGCAGUGAAAUGCGUAGAUAUCGUAAGGAAGACCAGUGGCGAAGGCGGGUCUCUGGACAGUUCCUGACGCUGAGGCACGAAGGCCAGGGGAGCAAACGGG
rnacentral:rRNA from 1 species